CUACGUCAAUUAAUAAUCAAGACAUGACUGAAGACCAACCGUUAUUUUCUCCAAAUAUUUCUGCAUUGUGGCAAGAUGGCAUUCAAAACUAAUAGCCACGGACAUUGUAAAACACCUGUCUGCCUCUCCUUGACAAUGAAGUUCCCAUUUGGAUUUUGGUUGAGAGUCAUGGAGGAAGACAGAAGGUGAACUCAGCUCAGGCUAAGAAGCCAGGGUACCCAGUAUGCCCAGUAAACCCUGGGAGUCUCGUUCGGUACUCCUUGGGGACAUGGGCCCUUGUCCCUUGAUCAGUGGCUGCCUCACUUAAUCCUCCCACUGUCCUAACCAAGUGUGCAUUCCGCCAUUAUCAUGAGCUAAGUGCAGAAUCCCCUGUGGAUCCCAGGACAGAUGGGAGCCACAGGGCAGUGCCUGGUCUGGAGACUCAUAGCUAGUGGUCUGGCCUCUGUGACCUACUAGCCUUUAACGGGGGUGGGGAUUGCUACACCUGGCAUCAGGCAGUGUAGGCAGCUCAUUGAAGGGACAUACUUAUGGCAGCGGAAGAGGCAGAGAAGGGUCCUCUCCAGCGGCUCUAGAGGGAGCGUGCUCUCACCCACACGUACCUGGUUUGGGACCCUGACUUCCAGAAACGGAAGGCAAUAGAUGAUUGAAUGUCCCUUGUAAAGCCGCCCAGAGCGGCCUGUUCCACAGCCCGCCCUUCUGUGUCCUGAGCACUGGUCCUUCCAGGUGUCUCUGGGGUAGCUCAGCUACUGGUGCAGCCUCCCUGGGCCGUCUCCUUCUUGGAGUCGGGUGAGAAGACGGGUGAAGAGGGCAAGCUGCUGCUGGGCAGAGCCUCCUGAAGGCAGUGGUAUCAUCCAGGCCGCCCCAGGAGCCCGAGGAACCGUCGGCCCCGUCUCCACAUGGUAUGUCUAUCUGCCUCAGCUGGGAGGAGGAUCUGUGUGGGAGCAUGCUAACAGCCUUUCAAGCCCGUGUUUGUUUGUUUUGGGGAUCCCGCUGCCGUCUGAACCAACAGCUUGAAGCUAUUUGAGUGUUUCUGUGGAUGAUGUGGGAGUGCAGUCUGCCUUCGUUGUGGGAACAGCUCUUCUGCCAGUCUGAUUCGUCUAGGUGGGGACCCUGCCACGCUGGCCACCAGCAGGAGUGCCAGGCCUGCUCAUCCAAGGCUGACUGAGGAGCCCAGACUCAGAAGAGAAGCCUCGUAGAAAGACACUCCCAGGUCACCUGCCUGCUGGAGGAUGUAAGGGGACCACUCUUUGUUCUGCGGCAGGAGGUGCCCACGUGACUUAGCGCUCAUGCUAAGUGGAGGAGAGACAGACUCGAAGGUUGAGAGGCUGAGGUGGCUAGCCUUGGGAGAGGAGGAUACUAGAGAAGAGUGCUUUGUGCAGGGGACUUCACAGGUAUCUGCCUGAGUGCCGGGGUCCCCUGGAGGGGGGACUCCAGGAGCGGCCUGGAGGAAGAGCAAAGAGCACAGAACUGUGAAACAAGGGUCUCACAACCAUCUGAGUCCCCCCAGCCAGGCUCGGAGGGCUCAGAGUGAGCCCAGUUCAGCACAGAGCUCAGCAGAGUUCUGGCUUCACAGAUGAACCUGUGCCUGCGAUGCGGCCCCCAAAGCAUCCCCCAGAGAUGAGCAUCCUUCAGUGGAUGUAGCUGCUGCCAGACGAAGCCAAAACUCUUCCAAGGAACGUAAGCCAAUCCAGAGCCCAACUCCCUGUGCUGUCCCGGGCAGUGCCCAGCACCCAACCGAGGUUACCGGAUGACAAAGAUGUAAGAAGACAUGGCCAGAAACAGGAGACAGGUCACACCAGAAAUGACAGAGGAGGCUGAAGAGGUAGACAUUAAGGACAUGGAGACUCCGGUUACAAAUGUGUUUGUGUCCAAGCAUUUAAAGAAAAUGGGGGAAAGUGUGAGGAGAAUCAGGAGAUAGGAAAACUCCAAAGGGAAAGCGGAGGGAUGGCAGACAUUGCUCUGCAGUGGGGUUGGGACCCGAUGUUACAGAAAAGCAAUGGGCCACACUAACACUCAGUGUGGACAUUGCAGGGUCCUGGCUGGUGGCUCAAUCUGGCCCACUGCUCACUUCUUAUAAAUAAAGUUUUAUUGCAGUGCA